GUGGAGAAUGCAUGGAUUUGAUAUAGAAGAUGAGGAAUAAUGAGUUGUUAAGGGUAGUUUUUAGGUCUCUUCAUGAGCAACAAUGAAAUAAAUAACAUUAGAAUAAGAAAAACAGAAGUAUACCAGUUUUCCUUUAUAAAUGCUUAGCUGGAAAUAACAUGGAUAAAUUGAGUAACAACUGUGAAACAUUCUGAAACUUAAAGGAAAAUCUAGGCUGGCGACAAAAACCAGGAGUCCUCAGCACUGAUGUAACUCAUUAAUUAUGACUUCAGCAUUUGGAAUGAUGUACAUGUAAAGUCAAUUACCAGAAAAAAAACAGCAAAUCAACAGUCUUUCCAUUAGCUGCUCACGAAUAUAUGUAUAGUUUUCUUCCAUUCUUUCCCUUCCAUGCACAUUCUUCCUAGUCUUCCUAAACCUUUGGCCUCUUCUGCAGGGUCUAGUUGUUUAUGGUCCUGAAAGUCAUAAAAAUGGUCAUUCUUGGCAACAUCAUGAUACAAUCUUACUAUCCACGCUAAAAGAGGACAUUCCAGUGUUUAAACUUCAGUUUGGAGAGUAAAGAUUUGGAUCAUAAGUCAUGUUGGGGGAAAGUAACUCUACUAGCAAAAGUAAAAGGCAUGAUUCAACAUUUAUAGAAGAGGAGAGUACACAAUCUGGGGCAAAAUGGUCUUCCAGGUAAUGCCUAGUCAGUUUUGGAAAUUACACUGAGUUGGACCCUGG
rnacentral:lncRNA from 1 species